GGAUGCGAUCAUACCAACCCUAAAGCACCAGAUCCCAUCGGAACUCCGCAGUUAAGCGUGCUUGGGUGAGAGUAGUAUUAGGAUGGGUGGCCCCCUGGGAAGUUGAGGUGUCACAGAUG
rnacentral:rRNA from 1 species